AUUUAAAAAUAGGAGGGAGUGGGACAGAAAUGAUAUUUUCACAAAAUUUAUUUCGUUGUUCACCCCAACUUGCACAUUAAUGUAAGCUGACUUUCCGCCAGCUUUUGUGUUGGGGCCCCGCCCCCAACUUGCAUUGUCUGUAGGAAUUGGUGUUCCAAUUUCUUUAUGUUGGGGCCCCGCCAACUACUGCCAAAUAUAACACUAUAGAGUCUAGACAUUGAUUUAUGUCUGACUCUCAAGAAUAGUUUUACUUUUUACAAUCACUAAUAGAU
rnacentral:ncRNA from 1 species